UACGUAGGGUGCGAGCGUUAAUCGGAAUUACUGGGCGUAAAGAGCUCGUAGGCGGUUUGUCGCGUCUGCUGUGAAAACUCGGGGCUUAACUCCGGGCCUGCAGUGGGUACGGGCAGACUAGAGUGCGGUAGGGGAGACUGGAAUUCCUGGUGUAGCGGUGAAAUGCGCAGAUAUCAGGAAGAACACCCGUGGCGAAGGCGGUUCUCUGGGACGGUACUGACGCUGAGACGCGAAAGCGUGGGGAGCGAACAGG
rnacentral:rRNA from 1 species